rnacentral:rRNA from 1 species
UACGUAGGUGACCAGCGUUGUCCGGAUUUACUGGGCGUAAAGAGCGCGCAGGCGGUCGUUCAAGUCGAGUGUGAAAGCCCCCCGGCUCAACUGGGGAGGGUCAUUCGAUACUGUUCGACUCGAAGGCAGGAGAGGGAAGUGGAAUUCCAGGUGUAGCGGUGAAAUGCGUAGAUAUCUGGAGGAACACCGGUGGCGAAGGCGGCAUCCUGGACCGACACUGACGCUGAGGAGCGAAAGCCAGGGGGAGCAAACGGG